UCCGCUCCCGCCCUACCCUCUUCGUGGAAAAACCACGUUCACCCCAAAAAACCGUGCCCACCCAGAAAAACCUCGCGAACCAUCGGAACACCGAACCGCAACCCUCCUCCGGCAAGCUCCUUCCCCUGGCUCCUCCGUCACCCAGCCGCCGCAUCCGUCUCCCCCACAUCCCCGCCGCUGCUGCCACUUCCACUUCCUUCGUGCCAGGCCCCUCAUCCUCCACUACUUCCUCCUCCUCGCUCCUGCACCGGCGCCGCCGCUGCCGCUCCGGCGCUAGAUCCACGGGCCAAGCGUGUCCUCUAUGCCUUUGGCCUUGGCCCCGUGCGGAUGGGGUCCUAGCGGGGUAGUGGGUGGUCGUGCUGAAGCCCAACCCGUUCAACCCAAACCCUAGCGCGAACAGGGUGAGGGAAUGAGAGGCGGCGGGUUUCGGGGUGGAGGCGGCCGUCGAGGCGACGCUCACGGCAGCGUCCUCGUUCGUACCUGCACCUGCACGCCGCGCACGCGCCGUUCCUGCUGGAUCCAAUUUUGUAGGAUGUCACGAACCCGAAGAUCCGGGCUAUCCAGAUCGAGCUUCACAACCUAUUCCAUGUACCAAUUCCCCACCCCCGCACAAUGGAUCCCGUCAUGAAGCUCCUCGAGGAUGACGAGGACGAGAGCUUGCACUCGGGAGCCAACGUCGAGGCCUUCACGGCGGCGCUCAACCGCGAGGCGUUGAUGGAUUGGGUGUAAUAUCAAGGUGUUGAAGGAGACGUCUCCUCUGAUGCUCAAAGACAAGGCGAUGGAAACAUUGCUGCUGGCUAUGGAGGGUGGUGGAUGAGGUGAUCACUGAUGCAAGCCCCCUCAUGGAGUUAAGGCCCACUCUCGUUUCACAACCAACAAUGCUAUGAUAACUAACGAUGAUUUCUUGCCUCGCACGAACAUUCCUUUGGAAGCCAUGGUCAAGUCACUCUUCUGCUUGCCAUUUCUUUUUUAUGCGGAAGGUGCCUUAUAGACACUUGUAUACCUGAAAGUAUGAUAUUGAGGGAUCCAACGCACCUCUAUGCACCAGGCCAGCUCAACCACAUAGUUGAAAGGAAACCGUGCAGUACAAUGUAUACAAAAGGAUUUGGUCGCGAUCGGGAAGGAACUGCAGAUACUCAUCUGGGUGCAGUUCGAUGUGGCCGUGGCAGCGAAUGAUUUGUCGAAGGGCAUGGAGGCCAGCUGCUAUCUGCUGUCACAGCGUGCGACAGAGAGGGGCAGUCCAGGCUCAUGGGGUUGGAGCUGCUGAAUGGGCUUAACCCCGCUGUUGGUUGAGAAGACCAGGAUGCACACAACCUGAAUCUUCAUGGACAAGUGUAUUGAUGCUGCUCUCUCAUUGUAUUAAUUUGUUUCAGGUUUCAUGGUUAGACGCCUCAUGGGCGCAUGGCGUAAUACAACCUGAUGCGAUACUUCAUGGAGGACCGUGGCCUCUACAAGAUAUGGAUGAAGGAUCUUGCUUACUGCUUUGGUAUAGGUGCGGCGAUCAAAUCGAUCUAUGAAACCAUAUAUAGUUGUUUUUGACUGCUUGCUUGCAUGUAUCGGUAACUAUGUAUACUCAUAUACUUCUCGCUGAUGAUUUUGUCCUUUUUCUUGAUGAUUUAGGAUGGAUUGACCUCUAUCUGGGGUAAUGUUGUUGAGGUAGGUCUGUAUCGACCAUGCCAUAUGCUUGAUCUAAGUGCAAAGUUGCUUUGUCCUACUUGUGCUGGGAGGGAGCCCUCUAACGGACCUAUUGUCAUCUGUUCUGACUUCUUCUCUCUGAUUGCAAUAUGGAUGUUUUGUUUUCUCUUCCUUUUGCUAUAUCAUUUUCCAAAAACUUGCUUUGAUAGUUAGCAAUGAAACUCAUUUGUUUCCAUUUUCUUGGUGCCUCCUCCAGGUUCUUGUUGCAGAUGUCGUGCAUGAGUGCAUCGCACCGGUCGAGCAGCUGUUCGACGCAGCGAAGCGGAGCUCGCGUGUUAGAGCAGCUACAUGUGGCACCUGUAAGAAGUUCUAUGGAAUUCCCUGCUUCCCUACUGCCUGUCUGAGCAUAUCACAGCUGCUGCCAUCCUGGCAGAAAACAAUACAGUUCAUACACUGUCCAAUGGUGUGGUUCAAAAAACCGCCCUUUGCUCUGCUCUAUAAGUAGAUGGCCUGGCCAGCGGCAGAGUAAAAGAAGAAGAAAAAGCCUGGGCAGAGCACAGGCAGAUUGUUGGCGUGAGAGAAGAAGAGGAGUUCGGCCGAAGAGCACUAACAGGCUGCCGGUUUGAGAAGGCUUCUACAUGCCAAGUGUUCGACGCGUGGGAGCUUCUGCGGAAACAAGCGCUCGGCAAAUACAUACAAGCACGGGAGGGCAAAUACUAGGGAGAAAGGAGAGGCUAGUGGAGGAGCGUCAGGGAGAAAGUUGUCGUGUGCGCGUAAAGGUAUUGGAUAAGGUGAUGCUCUCGUCCUCUUCGCCGCCCUCUGAUUUGAUCUGUUGAUACAAAUCAAGGAGCUAGCUAUCCUCCUCCCUCCACUCUCUCUUGGUUUUUGGUUCUCGCCUCUCUUUGAUUUGAUCUGUUGAUACAAAUCAAGGAGCUAGCUAUCCUCCUCUCUCCACUCUUGUUUUCUUGUUCUCGCCUCCCUCUACUUUGAUCUGUUGAUACAAAUCAAGAGCAGGCAUAAUACCUCAUUUGCUGAUUUGGUCCAUUAAUACAAACCAUGUAUGAUAAGAUGUAUGAAGGCCCUAUCUUCGGCUUAGUCA